CCUCGCUCAGUUGUGCCCAACAGCUAACAAAACCAGCAGCAAACAACUCCCGCCCAACUAAAGGCUGUAACUGUGCAAGCCUGGCACAGGUUCGCAAUGCUGGAGAAGGAGNNNNNNNUUCAAUACUGAAAUGCCUCAUCCCCUCUCCCCAAUCUUCUUUUGUACUGCGCUGAGAAGCCUCUCCAGCAGUCCGUAAUCGACCAUCGUUGACCUGAUGUCUAAGUUGUAUUUGCAAAUCAGUCCCAUCUUCAUAAGGGUCAUUGUCCAUAUCAUUUAAAGGGUCACUAAUAACCUCCACUGGAAGUCGUCGGUUCAAUCUUUGUACAGCUGUGUUCGCCAGGAUUAGAGGUUCACGUUUCCGCAAGCGUCCUUCAAUUUCUUCAAAUUCCUUAUGCCGCAAUCGAUGCUUCAACAGGAGUUUGUGAAUUGAUGGGAUGAAAAUGGUAAAGUCCUCCCCAAGAGCAUGUGCCAAACAACAAAGUGCAUCAACAGCAUCUUUCCUUAUCUCAUCAUUCUUCCCAUCCAAAACCAGUUUCAGG
rnacentral:misc_RNA from 1 species